UCCCGCCAUGAUUCUGAGGCCUCCCCAGCUAUGUGGAACUGUAAGUCCAAUUAAACCUCUUUUCGUUCCCAGUUUGGGGUAUGUCUUUAUCAGCAGCGUGAAAACAAACUAAUACAUGCUCUAAUAAAUAAGUCCCGUCCCUGCUGGACCACACUUAAAGUUCCCUCUUUUGACCAUAGCAUUUUUGUCUCAGUCAAACCUUUUGUCCCUGGGUUUAACCUUUAUAACACAUACCACACUUUGAAAUUUGAUACAUAUAUAUUCAUUUACUGGUUUAUUGUCUGUUUUGUCUCUUCAGUAGAAGAGUCCUACCUAUCUUGUUCCUUUCUUGAGUAAUUCAAAUUAUAUUAAAUUUUUUUUAAAAAGAGCCUGUAUUGCCUCAGGUGACUGGGAAAUCCAAAGUGCUGGAUUCAGAGUUCAGAUGAAGCUGUCAUGACUCUUGUACUCUUUGUCUCUCAGCUCUGCUUGCUUUUUCUUUGCUCCAAUGUCACAUACUUUUUCCCUCUAUGGAGACAAUGUGAUCCCCUACAUUUCCAGAGAAAGAAGUAAAUGAUGUCGCUCAAAUCUCUGGUGAAAAGUUCGAGGGCUGACUCUGAUUGAACCAUUUGAAGUCAUAUGCUCAUGCCUGAACCAAUCGCAAGAGUCUAUGCAUGCAGGAGGAAUUCUAAUUGGCUAGUCAGGGACACAGUCCUCCCUUACCACAGGAGGGUGGAGUCAGCCUUGACCAAAUCAAGUAGAAGGAACAGGAAUAUUAUGGAAUAAUGAGUGAGGGAUAGUUUCCCAAAUACUGAGCAGACAAAAUAAUAAUAAUAAACACCACCCCACUGUAUACACGAUGCCUAGCAUGGAGCAAUCACAGCAUAAGUGCUCAAUGAAUGUUUUUUAAAUGAAUAAGUAAUUUAUGUGUUUAUUUCUUGCCUCCCUGAUGCCUAAAGAAACAAGGGCAUGAAAAUCAGGCAGGAUCCAUCCCAGGAUUCAAGGCUUGCUCCAGCCCCUAACAGCAGGAUGAUUUGGGGCACUCCUGCCGAGUUCAAAGGAGAGGGCGCUUCAGUCAGACAGCAAAUGAAAGCAAGAAACUGAAGCAUACAGAGAUAAGCAACCCGCCAGGCUUCAAGUGCCAGAACUGGGAUCCAACCCAAGCAAUCUCAUUCCUCAACUUUAUAGUGAUUACAAUUAUUGAUGUUGUUAUGUAUUCUCAAUUACUAAGGGGAAAGAAGAACACAUUAUUUCCUAGUCAAAGUCUCCACAGCCGAAACAAGUGUAAAGUUGUUGCGGUUAAGCAGGGCCCUGAUUAUAGUAAGAUCUUUUCUGUAUUACACAGAUUUCACCCAGAUCACCAGCAUUUGUCAGUAAAUUCUCUUUUCCCAAGCCUACAAGCUCACCUCUAGGGCAUGCUUUAUUUCCCUCUAGCUGAACACUGCCUGCUAGGCCACUCUUGGAGGAAAGAGACAGAAAUGUUCAUGAGACCACUCAGGGUUUGCUGGACCAGGUGCCUCAAAGUCCAAGUAGCACUGACAGCAACUUUCCCCAGCAUCACACUCAUCCCCGCAGCCCUGGCCUCUCUGGCCACAGUCCAGGUACCCCUCCUCAGUCUUUCUGCUACUCUCUGCAGUAUUUGAGCCCCAAGAGGGUCAAACAGGCCUCACACCUAUUCGCGUAAUCCUUCUCUGCCCCGGUAAUCAGGGCUUCCACUUGUGGAGAGCCUACUGUGUGCCAGAUGCCAUUUCAGGCAAUUAACACAUCUUAUGUCAUUUAAUUCUCAUGGCAACCCUGAAAUCAUCCUCUCCACUUUACAAAGGGGAAGCUGAGCCUUGGGGAGUUUAAAUAACCUCCUCAUUUUGCAUCUCAUGCCCGUCUCCUCCCUCUGACCUAAGAGCUUAAAGAUAGCUACUGGGGGUGGGGGGGGGGUUCCAUGACAUCCCUUUUCUCUCCCCAAAUCACAGUCUGUUUGGAUGCCUGUUUCUGGGCUCACAGCGCAGAGGCUGGUCAAUGCUCCUGUCACCCUGUGUUAGAAUCACAGAUACCAUUUCCUGGCUUUCCCACUGGAAUUGAAGCUCCAGUGUACAUGCAAAAGCUAACAGGGCAUCCAUGAAUUAAUAAACAAGUGAACAAAUGCACACAGAGGUCACAUAGAAGUCAUACGUGUGGUGGUAAAGCACAAACUUGCAAGCAGACUGCCUGGUGCCUAUCUGGCUCUCUAUGCCAACUGUGUGACUCUAGACUAGUAGCCUAAUCCCUCUGGGCCUCAUUUUUCAUCAUAUACAAAGUGGAGACAAUGGCAACUGCCCCAUUAGGUUGUAAAGAGCAUUAAACAAGUUAACAUAUAUCAACUUUUAAAAAGUGUCUGGCAUGUAACAAGACAUCAAUAAAGAGUAACGACUCUUACUAUACCUUGUCAUUAUCCUCAUCAUCAGAGCUUUACCAGGCAAAGCCAACCUUGAAGUCCACGUAGUUGCCUUGCUUUGGGGAAAAAGAAUUAUCAAAAUUAUGAUCCUGGAAGAAAAAUUAAAUAACUCAAUUAAAGCACUGUGAAAAUAGAACUUGAAAAAAAUGUAGACCUGCCCUUGACGGUGCUCAGGAAAAGAAAUAGAAGAGCCCAUCACUGCUUCUUAGGUGGGCUGCCCAGCAUGGUUCUUGGGGUGACCAAGGAGUGACAAGCCACAGGGCUACAGAACAGGUACAAGCCUGAGUGGGGCCUGCUCCUCUUACCCUCUCCUUUUCACCUCAGAAUCCUCCUUCUUGCCUAAGGCCAGAGAGUCCAGUGGGUGAUGAGGAGAGAGCCUGGGCUGAACCACAUGGGCCACAUUGCUGUGCCCCCAGACAUCAUUAGCCAUUCCAUAAAGACAUCAUUAGUCAUAGCAGAUAGGCCAAACCCACCACUACUGUUGGAAACCAACUCCACAGACAUAUUUUCAAGAGUCUUCAGCAAUGUCAUUCUCAUACCUAAGAAACAGUGACUCCUCUCUAGGUCAAGCCAGUGGCCUGCUCCAGGGCACUCACUGUGGAUCCCUCCUCUGGGCCCAGCCCCUGCCUAGGAGGCCCUUUCUUCUCCAUUCCACCUUCAAAGGCCUUUUCCAUUCCCUACAGCUCAGGUCCAGUCACUGGUGUUUCUCCCACUCUCUGGCUUCUCUGAAAUGCCCAGCAAGCACCUGGCCAGCACAGUUCUGGAACUCUUCACACCUGUGACCUGCAUCUCCUUGUAGAGCACGAGUUGUUCCGGCCCAAUGCCUAUCAGUUAUUUUUCCAACACUG
rnacentral:lncRNA from 10 species